rnacentral:rRNA from 1 species
GACGAACGCUGGCGGCGUGCUUAACACAUGCAAGUCGAACGGAAAGGCCCUGCUUUUGUGGGGUGCUCGAGUGGCGAACGGGUGAGUAACACGUGAGUAACCUGCCCUUGACUUUGGGAUAACUUCAGGAAACUGGGGCUAAUACCGGAUAGGAGCUCCUGCUGCAUGGUGGGGGUUGGAAAGUUUCGGCGGUUGGGGAUGGACUCGCGGCUUAUGAGCUUGUUGGUGGGGUAGUGGCUUACCAAGUGUUUGAGGGGUAGCCGGCCUGAGAGGGUGACCGGCCACAUUGGGACUGAGAGACGGCGCAGAAGCGUACGGGAGGCAGUAGGGGGGAAUAUGGCACAAUGGGCGGAAGCCUGUUGCAGCAACGCCGCGUGCGGGAUGACGGGCUUCGGGUGGUAAACCGCUGUGGCCUGAGACGAAGCGGGAGUGACGGUAAUGGGUAAAGAAGCACCGGCUAACUACGUG